rnacentral:lncRNA from 1 species
CAUCCAAGCACGCCUCCAUUCCAUCACUACUGAAUAAUGCACGGCUCUCUUUCCCGUAUAGUACAUGUUCACUGCUGCAUAUAUUUUGCAAGUUUCGGAUCAAGAGAAAUAAUGCAACGAAUAUUAGCAUGGUUCACUUAUGGACUUACGACGAAGAUAAGAGAGGCUUUUGCUUGUAUAGGCAUAACGGUACUCUUUGGCUGGCCUCGUCCUUUCUCCAGCAUAUCUGUUCCUGGUACUCGUCGAGAGAUUCAACUGACCAACCAUUCACAUUACGAUCUU